rnacentral:rRNA from 1 species
UGAGUUUGAUCCUGGCUCAGAAUGAACGCUAGCGAUAAGCUUAACACAUGCAAGUUGAACGUUUCUUUUUGCUUUUCAUUAGUUUGAAUGAGUAAAAAAGAAAAGUAGCGAACGGGUGAGUAACGCGUAAGAAUCUACCUUACAAACCAAGGAAAGAGAAAUCUGAAUCUUGGAUAAUCAAAGUCAAAAGACGUUGUGAGAUGAGCUUGCGUAGGAUUAGGUAGUUGGUAGGGUAAAAGCCUCCCAAGCCGAAGAUCCUUAGCUGAUCUGAGAGGAUGAUCAGCCACAUUGGGACUGAGACACGGCCCAAACGCUUUCGAGCGGCAGCAGUGAGGAAUAUUGGACAAUGGGCGAAAGCCUGAUCCAGCUAUAUCGCGUGGGUGAUGAAGACUGUGUUGGUUGUAAAACCCUUGACUCUUUGAAAGAUUAUGACAAACAAAGAGCAAAAAGUCCCGGCCAAUCUCGUGCCAGCAGCCGCGGUAAUACGAGAGGGGCGAGCGUUAUUCGGAAUGAUUGGGCGUAAAGCGCACGUAGGCGGUUUAGAAAAUCCGAAAUCGAGAAUCUCAAAGCUUUACUUUGAGAAGUAUUUUCUGUGAUUCCUAGACUUGAGUAAGUAAGAGGAGAAUGGAAUUCCUGGUGUAGAGGUAAAAUAUGUUGAUAUCAGGAGGAACAUCAAAAGCGAAGGCAAUUCUCUGGUACUAGACUGACGUUGAGGUGCGACAGCGUGGGGAUCAAAAGGGAUUAGAUACCCCUGUAGUCCACGCCGUCAACGAUGACCUUUCUAUGAAUAUCAAAAGCCGUCAUGAUUCAUGAUUCUUUUGACGUUUGUAUUAGCUAACGCGGUAAAUGGUCCGCCUGAGGAGUACGGUCGCAAGACUAAAACUCAAAGGAAUAGACGGGGGCUCACACAAGUGGUGGAACAUGUGGUUUAAUUCGAAACAACGCGCAAAACCUUACCAGUCCUUGACAUAAUCUUUUCAUAAUCUUUCCCUAAAAAAGAUAAUUUAAACUAACUAGAUUGGUUUAAUUUGAAGAUUACAGGUGUUGCAUGGCUGUCGUCAGUUCGUGUUGUGAAAUGUUGGAUUAAUUUCCUUAACGAACGAAACCCCUCUAUCCAUUCACAAAUUUUUUAAACAAAAAAUUUGGAAAUGGAUAUACAGCUGGUGAUAAACUAGAGGAAGGGAGGGAUCACGUCAAGUCCUCAUGACCCUUAUGGGCUGGGCUACACACGUGUUACAAUGGUAAGUACAAAGAGCAGCAAUGAUGAAAAUCGGAGCAAAUCUCAAAAAGCUUACCCCAGUUCAGAUUGUUCUCUGCAACUCGAGAACAUGAAGCCGGAAUCACUAGUAAUCGUGGAUCAGCACGCCACGGUGAAUAUGUACCUGAGCCUUGUACUCCCCGCCCGUCACGGUCUCAGAGUUGAGUGCAUCAGAAGUAAUGUAUCGUCCCUCAAAUACGUUUUUUUUAAUUCCCAUUAAAAAUGAAAUCUUGAAGAUUUUUUUCAACGUUUUGAAAGACGCAUUCCCAAGAUGUGUUUAGCGAUAGGAUCGAAGUCGUAACAAGGUAGCCGUAGGGGAACCUGCGGCUG